rnacentral:rRNA from 1 species
GACAGAGGGUGCAAACGUUGCUCGGAAUCACUGGGCGUAAAGGGCGUGUAGGCGGAUCGGCAAGUCGGGCGUGAAAUCCCUGGGCUCAACCCAGGAACUGCACUCGAAACUGCCUUUCUUGAGUGCCGGAGAGGAAAGCGGAAUUCCUGGUGUAGAGGUGAAAUUCGUAGAUAUCAGGAGGAACACCAGUGGCGAAGGCGGCUUUCUGGACGAUAACUGACGCUGAGACGCGAAAGCGUGGGGAGCAAACAGG